CCGGAGUGAUCCGGCUGCGGGCCAGGGUCUGGGAAGGGGGUGGUGGGUCGCCGUUUCAUCAGAAGCCGGAGGACGGGCGCCAGGGGGCAACUUCCUACAGGAGGGCGUCCCGUUAGAAUGACAGGGCUUUUGCAAAAGUCUGACACCCGUGGCACAGAGCGCCCCAGAUAUGGAGGGUUUCACAGGCUCAUGUGUGGCUUCUUCAGUCCUCUCUUCAUUCACUCAUGUAUUCAUUUAUUCAACGACAUAUUACUAAGGAACCUCCUUAAGCCGGGAUGCUGAACGUGGAAAAAUAGGUGAAAUAUAAUUUUACCCCUGAGAAGCUCAUAGGCUAAAAAAAAUAUUGAUUUGGGAUAAAUGUAUGUUAAGUUGACUCUUGAACAAUGUGGGGGCUUGGGGCACCAACCCCCUGUGCAGUUGAAAAUCGACAUAUAACUUUGACUCGCCAAAAACUUCACUACAAUAGCCUGCUGCCAACCUGAAGUCUUACCAAUAACAUCAACAGUCAAUUAAACAUAUUACUAGGCUGAAAAGGAGAAGGAAGUGAAGGGGUUGGUCUUGCCGUCUCACGAGUGGCAGAGGCAGGAGAAAAUCCAAAUGGAAUCAUGACUUAAAGACUGCAUUCUUCCUUCUCAAAACUCAUGUUAAAGAUUUCUCCAUGCAGAGCCACAGGCUAUUUUGGAGUUUGAAAUGGAGCAGUUAAAACUAGGAGGUCACACACGUUGAGAUUAUUCCUUCACUGCAUCUCGCCCGGCUUGUGUGCCUGAGGAGACACGCAUCUCAGAGGGCAGAGGGGCAGCCGUUGUCUAGUGAGGUUAUUUCACCUACUAUAUAAUAAAAUGUACAGGACAAUAGCGCAUUUGUUAUAAAGGCUACUCGAGUUUGUUAUACAAUUAUUCUUCACCAAAAACAACAACCUGAUAACUCACUAUUAGUAUGAGUCUUACUUGGUAGAUAGCCAGGACUAUAAAAUAUACAAAGCCAAACUUUGCCAUUAUUUCCAUCUAAACCUUAGAGAUUGCUAUAACCAUAUAUUCAGACUUAACAAAGAUAUUUGGCACCAUUCCCAUUUUCUUUCUGUUAAUUCUUUCGUCAUUUUCAAAUGCAAAAUCCUCCCAAGUUGGGGGUCGUUUGUCUCUUAUUUUAGUUGUGGCCCUUUGUUCCAAAAAGAGAAUUAACUUAUCCUUUCUUCCCUGAGUUUAACCCUUAUUCUUUUUUCUUCCUUCCUCCUUUUUAAAAGUAUUCCUCCUGAGUUUAUAAAAUCUAGAAAUUUCUCUCUUCUAAUUUUGUAAGAUUAGUAAAUAAGCAAUUCUGUCAUUCUCCCCUCUUAUAAAUCAGCACUGUUUAUCAAUUUUUAAGAACAGUCCCAAGACAUGGUUUAUGAAAAGAAGGAACCGAUUGCAAAAUAAGCGAGGAAGUUUCUGAUUUAACUUCCUGCUGAAAUUCCUAGGAAGAAAGACAAAAAGCUGAAGACUCACAUAACCCUCAUG
rnacentral:lncRNA from 1 species